UUAUAAAUACCCAGGAAGUGCUAAGCCAGACCUUUUUAGCUGCAUGGGACCACAUGGGGAACUGAACAAAAGAACAAAGAAAGUGCACUUACCGAUGGUGAUCUGACUGACGCAGCUGUAGAAGGUUCCUGAAGAGACAUUGUAGCUGCCACUGCUGGGCUCACGGUCUAUGACGGAAGCAGACAUCAGUAUCAUACACUGCAGAAUGCCUUUACCUGCGGAUCCGGAGGAGAGACGCGUCGCGAUAGCGUGGCGAGGACUGCGCAGACUUCCCGGACAGACCCGCACACAGGCUCUCCUGACCUUCUCCGACUCCGCCGCACCCCAUGUGCUCGCCCCCCCGCCUGGAUCUUCAUACCUGUGUUGAUCCGAUGGACCAGCCGCUGCUUCAUGCUCGAGCAUUCUCUUUACAAGCGGAGGUCACAGUUAUCAUAACGCAUGGCUUGGAGGUGUGUGACGGAAACUAUCUUUCCUCUACCUACGGCAAUCUUAACUCCACCCACUUUUUUUGUAUUCAAGUGCUUAUUUUCCAGACUUGUCCCCCAAUAUCAGCUCACCUCCGCUCCAUCAUGCCAGCCUAUCUCUGCGGCUUGGGGGUUGGUUGACGUUGCGGCUCUUUAAGCACGGCUGAAGGCGUGGCUGCUUCACGUGGUUGGUUAGGUCGCAGUGUCACGUUGCCGUGGGAGUUUUAAUUAUCAAAAAUUAAGCGUACAUAAAGGAAGGUCUCUACUAAGUACCGAAGAGACUCCUCACUUUAAAAAGCAAGUCAUUCUGCAGAUUCUGCAAUUUACUCUUGAACCAUUCUAAUGCAAAAGUCAAUUACAACUUUUAUUUAAGUAAUUG